rfam:Picea glauca, whole genome shotgun sequence.
GCUCUGUGUGGGGAGUUCCAUUCAGUUCAAUCAUGGGUGCAAAGAAGUGGAUGCAGCUGCCACUUCAUGCAUCUGACUAGACUAUUGUGUGCGUUUAUUAUAAUAGCUUAGUCCCAUGCUUGAUGCGGGAGCUGAUUCUAUCGCUUCCUCCGUCCCUCGAUUGGACUGAAGGGAGCUCCCCACUCACUCUGG